AUUGAACGCUGGCGGCAGGCUUAACACAUGCAAGUCGAGCGGAGUGAUGGUGCUUGCACUAUCACUUAGCGGCGGACGGGUGAGUAAUGCUUAGGAAUCUGCCUAUUAGUGGGGGACAACAUCUCGAAAGGGAUGCUAAUACCGCAUACGUCCUACGGGAGAAGGCAGGGGAUCACUUGUGACCUUGCGCUAAUAGAUGAGCCGAAGUCGGAUUAGCUAGUUGGUGGGGUAAAGGCCUACCAAGGCGACGAUCUGUAGCGGGUCUGAGAGGAUGAUCCGCCACACUGGGACUGAGACACGGCCCAGACUCCUACGGGAGGCAGCGGUGGGGAAUAUUGGACAAUGGGGGGAACCCUGAUCCAGCCAUGCCGCGUGUGUGAAGAAGGCCUUAUGGUUGUAAAGCACUUUAAGCGAGGAGGAGGCUCUUUUGGUUAAUACCCAAGAUGAGUGGACGUUACUCGCAGAAUAAGCACCGGCUAACUCUGUGCCAGCCGCCGCAGUAA
rnacentral:rRNA from 1 species